AGCAUUGAAGAUGAAAAAUGAAAGUACCUUUGAUUGGGUCCCUCCUGAAACCAAUCAGACUGAUCACAGGCCAAGUCUUUAUGUGUAACUUUGUAAUUUUACUUCAGCCUCUCUGAUUGGUCACCUUCAGCAACCAAUCAGACUGGUCACAGGCCAUUACUUCAUUUACAUAAGGUGCAAACCAAGUAACCAAUGGGAAACCCCUAGAGGGUAUUUAAACUCCAGAAAAGUCUGUAACCAGCCUCUUGAGCUGCUUUCUCUCACUCCCACUUUGUGGAGUGUACUUUAGUUUCAAUAAAUCUGUGCUUUUUUUUUUUUUUUCAUUGCUUUGUUUGUGCGUUUAUCCAAUUAUUUGUUCAAAAUGCCAGGAAUCUGGACACCCUCCACCAGUAAUAGGUAACAGUUUUGGUUCUGUGUAUCUUCAGAUCUGUUACUAGCCAGGCACUCUUUCUUGAUAAUUUGCAAAGAAAAUACUCUGAAGAGUCUGAAGUAAAAGUUCACUUGUUGAACCCAAUGUUUUCCCCCAGGCAUUGGGAAGGGGAAGGCAGAAAAGCAGACUGCAAGAUCAAGUGGUAGUGGAUGCUAACAGAAAACCUUUGGACAGGAUGGGACAGAAACAAAGUCAUGCAUCUUCUAUCUAUCUGUCACCUGUGGACAACUUGCCACUUCAACAGUUCUGGAUGCUUUUAAAUCCCCUAAGGAGAAGCUAAACACUGUGCUGGUUAUCCCCAUCCAUAACUCCUCCCAGAGGGCCCCAUAUCCUAUCUUCCAGAAGAGCUAAUAGUCCAUGGAAAUCCAAGCCAGAAGCAAAAGGAGGCAAGAAUGUUCUGACAGCACCUCCCACAAUGUGACGGGUAGAGUCAAAGAAGAAAAUAACAAAAAACGCUGCUAUAAAAAAUUACCAAUUCAAACUAUGGGAGAAUGAGAAAUAGAAAAAUUAUCUCUUAGCCAGAGAAAAGAUUUUGAACCCUGAAAAUUGUAAUUUCUAUGAAUGUCAAUGCUCUUAUGUUUUGCUUUGCAAAAAUAUUUGGAAGAAAAUGGCACAACUUUCAAAAAAAGGAAAACAUUCAAAAUAUUUAAAUUAUAUUAUAAGAUAUAUAUUAUAUAUGCAACAUGAUCACCAAGUCUGGAAACACAGAAAAGCUUUAUAAUGGUGAUUUAUGCCUAUCACUCUGAGUUAUGAUGAUAUUACAUAUGUUCAACGUGUUGUUCCUCAUUAGCAAUGUGUCAUGCAUAAUGGAGAUCAACAUGGGACGUUAAUGCAACAUUUCCAUCAAUGCUUGCACAUGCUUCUGUGAUGUCUUGCCUCCCGUGAUUUUUGUCUCUGAUUUUUACAAUAUUAACCUACUUUAGCAUCUUCUGGAAGAAGCCAUCAAGUGGGUUGAUCUGUAAAACUAAGUGUUAUCUUUAUUUCCCAACUUUACGGCCAUCCUGUAUUAGUGUAUGUUAUGUAUAUUCGGAACUGCUCCAUAAUUAAAACAGUCAUUCCUUAUCAAUAAUUUACUUGCUGUCAUGGAUACAUAUUUUUUAGUUAAUGAUCCCUUUGCCAAUUAGCCUAGGUUUUAGGCAGGGACUAUGUCAUACCCAUUUUGAAUUCCAAUACUUAGCACAGCUUUCUAUACAUAGUACUUGCUUAAUAAAUAAUUCCUGAAUAAAAGUAAAUUCUAAAUAUUUCCUUAUUUUUUAGCUUUGAAGUACAUCUUGGAUAUUUGACAUUUAAGCAAAUACCAUUUAGAUCCUUGUUUCCUCUGAUGGUUUUAUCAUAAUAAUUGCUCUGAGAGAUUUUUCCAAUGAAGUCUUAGAGUUGCCACAUCUCUGCUUACACUUUUCGCCAAUGAAAGAUAGCUUUCUCCAUAUUCCAUUAAAAAGAGUCUUCUUUUUAAAUGUUCACUUCUCUUUUAAGAUAUCUGGACCUAAUGGGCUUCAUAUUAUUUUCACUUUAAUGACAAAAGGCAAACUACUAAGUGAGGAAAUAAACUGUUUAAAAUUUAUACAGAUUGUGAACGAGUGUAUGAAAAAAUAUUUUUUCAGUGCAAUACAAAUGACACACAUUUACUUAAUGUAAUCCAAAGUGACAUAAUAAAAGACAGAGAGUUUCACAGAGCAGGAAAAAGGGGAGUAAAUCUGGGUCGGAUGAAGCAUGAGAAACUAACUGUUCAAGCGUAUGCCACUUCACUGAUUCUUGACAGAAAAAUUUUAGCCGUAGAAAUGGGAGGUAUAAAGCACAUCAGGCCAAAUGAAACACAACGAGAGCACGUAAUGGGUGAAACAAGCAGCAUCUGGCACAGAGAAUUCAAAACACGCAACGAUCACUUCUAAAACUGAAUUAUCUUCUGGAAUUUUGUGUAAAAAAAUAGAUUCUACUUUGAGAUUUUUGACAAAGAUAGGUAGAUAAAAUCAAAGAAAAAAAACCCCUGAAAACCCUAUUCCACAUUAUUCAUUUCCAAUGUUCUUUUCUUUGCAUCAUGAGUCAACAUUUACCAUUAAGGAUAAACUCAGUUUCAGGCUCAACCUUUUUUAUUUUAUCGAGUUUAAUUUGUGUCUCCAUUCAGUCUUAUUACUGUUGUAAAAGACUGAAAGACCUCUUUUAAAUAACUACCAUAAUAGCUUGCAUGAAAGCAUGGCACCUGCCAUUUUCAAAUGCCUAUAACAUAUAUAUCUGCCUUUGUACCUGGGAAAAUAUCCCUUAUUCUCAGUCUAGUAAGAUAAUGGAAGAUACCUGAGCUAAAGAUAAAGAUCAGAGACAUAUUAAUAUUAUUGUCAGAGCAGAGUCAGCCAGCCGUGGUUUAAACACCAUCUUUUACUGUUAAUCGAAUAAUCUAGCCUCAGUUUCCUCAUCUAUAAAGUGUGGAUAAUGAUAUUAUGCCAUAGGAUUGUUAUAAUGAUCUCCAUAAGUACCAUAUCCCUAUUAGUAUCAUUAAAAAGUCUCAGAUGGGUUUGAAUAUUCCCAACAUUGUGGCAGAAAAAUGCCAUGUGAAAUUUGAUAUGAUUUUAAUGUCCAAAUAAGGAAAAUGCCAAUGUGUAUACAUUGGAUAAAUUACAAGAAAUUUUAUUUGCCAAGUAGGGGAAAGAUUAUGGCAAAAAUUCUAAAUAAAUUAACAGAAUGUAAAAGACAAGCCACAGAUUGGAAGAAAAUAUUUGCAAAACACAUAGCUGAUAAAGGACUGGUACCAAAAAUAUACAUAGAACUCUUAAAACU